AAGUAUCAAGAACAUUAUCUAGACAACAUGUUAAAGAUGAACUCUUCUCCAGGUUUAAUGACUGUGAUACUCUUAAUGCUUGGAGGAACCAGUGGAGAUUCAGUGACCCAGCAAGAAGGCCAAGUAAUUCUCUCAGAAGAGGCUUUACUGACUAUGAACUGCACUUAUACGGCCACAGGGUAUCCUACCCUUUUCUGGUAUGUCCAAUAUCCCAAUGAAGGUCUACAGCUUCUCCUGAAAGCCACCAAGGCCAAUGAGAAAGGAAAAAGCAAAGGUUUUGAAGCCACGUACCAUAAAGAAACAUCUUCCUUCCACUUGAAGAAAGCCUCAGUGCAAGACUCCGACUCAGCUGUGUACUACUGUGCUCUGAGUGACACAGUGACAGGAACUGCAGGAGGAGCUGAGCACAAACUCUGA